rnacentral:sRNA from 1 species
UUCACCAACUAUGUAGGAAUACCUUAUCUUGUUUAUAAGAGCUUUGAUACAUGCAAAAUAUUCGAAAACAAUGUCCGAACAUAUAAUUUUCGCCCGUAAUAUAGCAAAGAUAACGAAAAGGCUCGAAAAAGUACAUUAAAAUCAAAAUUUGGAGUAGGAAAAAAACAGUAGAAAAACACCAUUUUCCUUCCUCAUUCAUCGGAGAGCUCUCUUUGGGCUUUCCGAAAAGGUAUCACAUGUCAAGUUUGGCCUCACGGUCUUAAAGUUAUAGAGUCAUACAUUUUUAACAAAAAAAAAGAGAAAAACCAAAAAAAAAGAGGGAUGACACACGAGGACUUUCCUGGAGGUCACCCAUGCUAGUACUACUCUCGCCCAAGCACGCUUAACUGCGGAGUUCUGAUGGGAUCUGGUGCAUUACUGCUGGUAUGAUCGCAUUCGUUACUACAUGCAAUGCAAACGUAUCAAUUCUUUUUUAAAGACUUUAUGAUCCAUUUGCCGUGGGUCCCACCAUCUAUGUAGGAAUACCCUAUCUUGUUUAUAAGAGCUUUGAUACAUGCAAAAUAUUCGAAAACAAUGUCCGAACAUAUAAUUUUCGCCCCGUAAUAUAGCAAAGAUCACGAAAAGGCUCGAAAAAGUACAUUAAAAUCAAAAUUUGGAGUAGGAAAAAAACAUUAGAAAAACACCAUUUUCCUUCCUCAUUCAUCGGAGAGCUCUCUUUGGGCUUUCCGAAAAGGUAUCACAUGUCAAGUUUGGCCUCACGGUCUUAAAGUUAUAGAGUCAUACAUUUUUAACAAAAAAAAAGAGAAAAACCAAAAAAAAAGAGGGAUGACACACGAGGACUUUCCUGGAGGUCACCCAUGCUAGUACUACUCUCGCCCAAGCACGCUUAACUGCGGAGUUCUGAUGGGAUCUGGUGCAUUACUGCUGGUAUGAUCGCAUUCGUUACUACAUGCAAUGCAAACGUAUCAAUUCUUUUUUAAAGACUUUAUGAUCCAUUUGCCGUGGGUCCCACCAUCUAUGUAGGAAUACCCUAUCUUGUUUAUAAGAGCUUUGAUACAUGCAAAAUAUUCGAAAACAAUGUCCGAACAUAUAAUUUUCGCCCCGUAAUAUAGCAAAGAUCACGAAAAGGCUCGAAAAGUACAUUAAAAUCAAAAUUUGGAGUAGGAAAAAAAACCAAUAGAAGAAUUCCAUUUUCCUUCCUCAUUCAUCGGAGAGGUCUCUUUGGGCUUUCCGAAAAGGUAUCACAUGUCAAGUUUGGCCUCACGGUCUUAAAGUUAUAAAGUCAUACAUUUUUAACAAAAAAAAAGAGAAAAACCAAAAAAAAAGAGGGAUGACACACGAGGACUUUCCUGGAGGUCACCCACCCUAGUACUACUCUCGCCCAAGCACGCUUAACUGCGGAGUUCUGAUGGGAUCUGAUGCAUUAAUGCUGGUAUGAUAGCGUCCGUUACUACAUGCAAUACAAUCGUAUCUAUUCUUUUUUGAAGACUUUAUGAUCGAUUUGCCGUGGGUCCCACCAGCUAUGUAGGAAUACCCUAUCUUGUUUAUAAGAGCUUUGAUACAUGCAAAAUAUACGAAAAAGAUGUCCGAACAUGUAAUUUUCGCCGCGUAAUAUAGCAAAGAUCACGAAAAGGCCCGAAAAAGUACAUUAAGGUCAAAAUUUUGAGUAGAAAACAAAACCAAUAGAAAAAUUCCAUUUUCCUUCCUCAUUCAUCGGAGAGCUCUCUUUGGGCUUUCCGAAAAGGUAUCACAUGUCAAGUUUGGCCUCACUGUCUUAAAUUUAUAAAGUCAUACAUUUUUAACAAAAAAAAAAGAGAAAAACCAAAAAAAAAGAGCGAUGCAACACGAGGACUUUCCUGGAGGUCACCCAUCCUAGUACUACUCUCGCCCAAGCACGCUUAACUGCGGAGUUCUGAUGGGAUCUUGUGCAUUAGUGCUGGUAUGAUCGCAUCCAUUACUACAUGCAAUGCAAUUGUAUCUAUUUUUUUUUAAAGACUUUAUGAUCCAUUUGCCGUGGGUCCCACCAGCUGUGUAGGAAUACCCUAUCUUGUUUAUAAGAGCUCUGAUACAUGCAAAAUAUUCAAAAAUAAUGUCCGAACAUAUAAUUUUGGCCCCGUAAUAUAGCAAAGAUAACGAAAAGGCUCGAAAAAAUACUUUAAAAUCAAAAUUUGGAGAAGGAAAAAAACCAAUAGAAGAAUUCCAUUUUCCUUCCUCAUUCAUCGGAGAGCUCUCUUUGGGCUUUCCGAAAAGGUAUCACAUGUCAAGUUUGGCCUCACGGUCUUAAAGUUAUAGAGUCAUACAUUUUUAACAAAACAAAAAGAGGGAUGACACACGAGGACUUUCCUAGAGGUCACCCAUGCUAGUCCUACUCUCGCCCAACCACGCUUAACUGCAGAGUUCUAAUGGGAUCUGGUGCAUUAGUGCUGGUAUGAUCGCAUCCGUAACUACAUGCAAUGCAAUCGUAU